AUUGAACGCUGGCGGCAGGCCUAACACAUGCAAGUCGAGCGGAUGAAGGGAGCUUGCUCCUGGAUUCAUCGGCGGACGGGUGAGUAAUGCCUAGGAAUCUGCCUGGUAGUGGGGGAUAACGUCCGGAAACGGGCGCUAAUACCGCAUACGUCCUGAUGGAGAAAGUGGGUGAUCUUCGGACCUCACGCUAUCAGAUGAGCCUAGGUCGGAUUAGCUAGUUGGUGGGGUAAAGGCCUACCAAGGCGACGAUCCGUAACUGGUCUGAGAGGAUGAUCAGACACCCUGGAACUGAGACACGGUCCAGACUCCUACGGGAGGCAGCAGUGGGGAAUAUUGGACAAUGGGCGAAAGCCUGAUCCAGCCAUGCCGCGUGUGUGAAGAAGGUCUUCGGAUUGUAAAGCACUUUAAGUUGGGAGGAAGGGCAGUAAGUUAAUACCUUGCUGUUUUGACGUUACCAACAGAAUAAGCACCGGCUAACUUCGUG
rnacentral:rRNA from 1 species